rnacentral:rRNA from 1 species
GUGCCAGCAGCCGCGGUAAGACGAACCGUGCGAACGUUGUUCGGAAUCACUGGGCUUAAAGGGCGCGUAGGCGGGCAUUAAAGUCAGGGGUGAAAUCCCCCAGCUUAACUGGGGAACUGCCUUUGAUACUGAAUGUCUCGAGUAAGGUAGGGGCAUGCGGAACUGAUGGUGGAGCGGUGAAAUGUGUUGAUAUCAUCAGGAACUCCGGUGGCGAAGGCGGCAUGCUGGACCUUCACUGACGCUGAGGCGCGAAAGCUAGGGUAGCGAACGGGAUUAGAUACCCCAGUAGUCC